rnacentral:rRNA from 1 species
GUCUAUGGCCAUAGCACCCUGAACACGCCCCCCAUCUCGUGCAGUCUCGGAAGCUAUGCAGGGUUGGGCCUGAUUAGUACUCGGAUGGGAGCCUAUUGGGGAGCCCAGGAAGGAAUGAUCC